UAGGGAAUAUUAGAAAUGGACGAAAGCCUGACCCAGCAACGCCGCGUGAAGGACGAAGGCCUUCGGGUUGUAAACUUCUUUGAUCAGGGACGAAACAAAUGACGGUACCUGAAGAACAAGCCACGGCUAACUACGUGCCAGCAGCCGCGGUAAUACGUAGGUGGCGAGCGUUAUCCGGAUUUACUGGGUGUAAAGGGCGUGUAGGCGGGUUUGCAAGUCGGAUGUGAAAUUCCCGGGCUUAACUCGGGCGGGUCAUCCGAAACUGCAGAUCUUGAGUACUGGAGAGGAUAGUGGAAUUCCGGGUGUAGCGGUGGAAUGCGCAGAUAUCCGGAGGAACACCAGUGGCGAAAGCGGCCUCCUGGACCAUUCCUGACACUCAGACGCGAAAGCUAGGGUAGCAAACG
rnacentral:rRNA from 1 species